AAAAAAAAAAAAAGUCAGACAGGAGGGCUUUACAGGGCACCACCUCUGCAAAAACCAACCACUCCAGACGGGCAUGAAGGACAUAUGCACAGGGGAGAGACAGAGUGCAGCAGACAUCGCUGUCCCGUAGAGACGGAGUUUCUCCAUGCUGGCCAGGCUGGUCUCGAACUCCUGGUUUGCGCAUCUAAGAGGCUGCGGCGGGAUCCGUGCUGUCUACCCCGAAAGGGAUGCCAGGGAUGAGGCCCCACCUGGGCCGGAGGGGAAGCUUGGCUGUGUCCGAGGGACUGAUUGCACUGUCCUCCCACCCAGUGAGGUCCAACAGGAAGAAAAUCUACCAGCAACACCCACCCAUUGCUUGGAUACCGCGUCUGGACAAACGCAACGCUGCGGGUCACCUGGUCUACCAUCUGGUCCAGGGUGCCUGCACAGAGAGUAUGAGCUGGGUCAGGAACUCGCUUCCUCCUAAAGCCCACACCGGCCCUCGGACCUGCAGCAACCACCCCUAUUACCUUUGGGGGCGAUGUCAUAAGCCACUAUUACCACGGCCACUCCCUGUGCCGUCAGCGGGUCGACCAUGAAGGCAGACUCGUCCUUACUGCAGAGAGAGACACAGAUGUGACAGCUGGAGGCAGCCUGGCCACUACGCUGCUUCCUGUGUCCUGGACACACCACUUUCCAGAUGUUCUGUCCAUGCACAGCACCACCCCUUUCUGGCCCCGUUUGAGAGAGGGAAGCGGACAGGAUCUCUCCCUGCCACAUCACAUACUAGCUAUGGGACCAUGGGGGAGCUUCAUGUAACUUUCUUUUUCUUUUUUUUUUUUUUGAGACGGAGUCUCGCUGUGUCGCCCAGGCUAGAGUGCAGUGGCGCAAUCUCGGCUCACUGCAAGCUCUGC